UCCAGUGUGAUGUAGUGGUUUGAGCGUUGGACUAUGACUCCGGAGACCUGGGUUCGAAUCCCGGCUUGGCCA
rnacentral:tRNA from 1 species